AUGCUUCACUGGCCGCAGCGGCCAGCCACGACAUGCUGGGCUCCAGGGAGAGUCCUGAUCGCAGCCCCCGCCAGACCCCACUCCUGCGGUUCACAAGGCCGACUUCCCCUGGACUCUCUGACUGUAGGCAGAGGCAGACCCCACACAACCAGAGCACGCUGCUGGCAGCUAGUUUGCAGCAUCCUGUCUAAAGCCAGGGGUCCGACCCUGGUGUCAGUUCAGGCCCAUGGGCCCUGCGACCUCUCAGCCUGUGUCGCAGUGAUCCCUAGCAUGCGACAGCAGAGGAAGGAGGGGAUGGCCGUUUGUUUCCCUUGUGGCUGUUGGAGGCAAGAUUGUCCGACGUUCCAGACUCCUGUUCAGCACUCACUCCUGCAGCCCUCUGGCUCCAGAGGGUGCACCCGGCCAUGCAGGGCCACGGCUCAUCAAUCGGGGAGGGGGCUCCUCCUGCACAGCCGGGACACCCGGUGUCUCAUGACCAUCUGCUCUAGCCGUGCCCCGCCUCCUGUUCCGGGUCCAUGUGUUGGAGCUGAUGGCUGAUAUGUUUUUUCUCCAUGUCCAGCUGAAGUCUUUUCACAACGAGCUGCUCACGCAGCUGGAGCAGAAGGUGGAGCUGGACUCCAGGUAUCUGAGUGCUGCGCUGAAGAAAUACCAGACUGAGCAAAGGAGCAAAGGCGAUGCCCUAGACAAGUGUCAGGCUGAGCUGAAGAAGCUUCGGAAGAAGAGCCAGGGCAGCAAGAAUCCUCAGAAGUACUCGGACAAGGAGCUGCAGUACAUCGACGCCAUUAGCAACAAGCAGGGCGAGCUGGAGAAUUACGUGUCCGACGGCUACAAGACCGCACUGACAGAGGAGCGCAGACGCUUCUGCUUCCUGGUGGAGAAGCAGUGCGCCGUGGCCAAGAACUCGGCAGCCUACCACUCCAAGGGCAAGGAGCUGCUGGCACAGAAGCUGCCGCUGUGGCAACAGGCUUGUGCCGACCCCAGCAAGAUCCCGGAGCGCGCCGUGCAGCUGAUGCAGCAGGUGGCCAGCAACGGUGCCACCCUCCCCAGCGCCCUGUCGGCCUCCAAGUCCAACCUGGUCAUUUCGGACCCCAUUCCGGGGGCCAAGCCCCUGCCAGUGCCCCCCGAGCUGGCACCGUUCGUGGGGCGGAUGUCCGCCCAGGAGAGCACACCCAUCAUGAACGGCGUCGCAGGCCCGGAUGGCGAGGACUACAGCCCGUGGGCUGACCGCAAGGCUGCCCAGCCCAAAUCCCUGUCUCCUCCGCAGUCUCAGAGCAAGCUCAGCGACUCCUACUCCAACACACUCCCCGUGCGCAAGAGUGUGACCCCAAAAAACAGCUAUGCCACCACCGAGAAUAAGACUCUGCCUCGCUCGAGCUCCAUGGCAGCCGGUCUGGAGCGCAACGGCCGCAUGCGGGUGAAGGCCAUCUUCUCCCACGCUGCUGGGGACAACAGCACCCUCCUGAGCUUCAAGGAGGGUGACCUCAUUACCCUGCUGGUGCCUGAGGCCCGCGAUGGCUGGCACUACGGAGAGAGUGAGAAGACCAAGAUGCGGGGCUGGUUUCCCUUCUCCUACACCCGGGUCUUGGACAGCGAUGGCAGUGACAGGCUGCACAUGAGCUUGCAGCAAGGGAAGAGCAGCAGCACGGGCAACCUCCUGGACAAGGACGACCUGGCCAUCCCGCCCCCAGAUUACGGCGCCGCCUCCCGGGCCUUCCCCGCCCAGACGGCCAGCGGCUUCAAGCAGAGGCCCUACAGCGUGGCCGUGCCCGCCUUCUCCCAGGGCCUGGAUGACUAUGGAGCCCGGUCCAUGAGCAGCGCCGAUGUGGAAGUGGCCAGAUUCUGAGCCGCCUGACUAGAGUUAGAAUCCCUUUGCCCACGUCCAGCUGAAGCCGACAGUGACCAACGACAGGUCUGCCCCGCUCCUCAGCUGAUGGCCACAUCUGCGGCGCUGCCGGUCCGGCGGCUUCCCCCGCCCUCCCCAUGUAGCCUGUUCUGUCAUCAUUUGUGCGUUCCUGUUUAGAGAACAUCCAGGCCUCGGCUGCCUGGCCUUGCCCCACUUGAGUCUGGUCUGGACUGGAUCCCAGCUGUUUUAGGCAGGGCCGGGCAGAGUGGGGCGCACGCCCCUGAAGGGUGAGACCCAAUGGCUGCGCUGCCCAGGGCUGAGGGGCUGCCUCUUGAGGGUACACACCUCUGGUCACAUGGCCAUGGAGCCCUGGAUGCCCCUGAGUUAAGGGAGGACAUUUGGCCAGCUGGUGGCUGGGAGGGGAGCCCGGCUGCCUUGCUGCUUCUCUUGCCUAAUAAACAAACAGGCUCCUUCUGC
rnacentral:sRNA from 1 species